rnacentral:rRNA from 1 species
CCUACGGGGGGCAGCAGUGGGGAAUAUUGGACAAUGGGGGCAACCCUGAUCCAGCCAUGCCGCGUGUGUGAAGAAGGCCCUCGGGUUGUAAAGCACUUUCAGUGAGGAAGAACGCCUGGUGGUUAAUACCCAUCAGGAAAGACAUCACUCACAGAAGAAGCACCGGCUAACUCCGUGUCAGCAGCCGCGGUAAUACGGAGGGUGCGAGCGUUAAUCGGAAUUACUGGGCGUAAAGCGCGCGUAGGUGGCUUGAUAAGCCGGUUGUGAAAGCCCCGGGCUCAACCUGGGAACGGCAUCCGGAACUGUCAAGCUAGAGUGCAGGAGAGGAAGGUAGAAUUCCCGGUGUAGCGGUGAAAUGCGUAGAGAUCGGGAGGAAUACCAGUGGCGAAGGCGGCCUUCUGGACUGACACUGACACUGAGGUGCGAAAGCGUGGGUAGCAAACAGGAUUAGAUACCCCAGUAGUC